UCUUGCAUGCACAGUUCAGGAAGGAUGUCAGAAAAUAGGCUACAGAUCAGAAAAGGACUACACAAACAAAGAUUUGGAAAACGUGUCAGUGAAAGACAUGGAAGGUUAAUCUACUCUAUGGAAGAAAAAGGACCUCUGGAUUACCACAUACAAUUUCUUGCACAAAGUACAGAAAUUUCUAACACACAAAAGCGUAUGACUCCACAGCUAGGAGGUAAAGGGACUUGAGAGGGUUCAAGAAACAAACUCAGAAGACCAUUUAUCGCUGCAAGCCAUAUGGGCUUUGAGAGAGGCAAGACAAUAGAUGAAAAAAAAGAAGCCAGCAGAAAUAAAUGCAUUCAGAUAUGC